rnacentral:rRNA from 1 species
CCUUAUCCUGCUAAAUAGCCCGGCCGGCUUUGGCUGGUCGCUGGCUUCUUAGAGGGACUUUUAGCGUUUAGCUAAAGGAAGUUUGAGGCAAUAACAGGUCUGUGAUGCCCUUAGAUGUUCUGGGCCGCACGCGCGCUACACUGACAGAGCCAGCGAGUAUUCUUCCUUGGCUGGAAAGCCUGGGUAAUCUUGUUAAACUCUGUCGUGAUGGGGAUAGAACAUUGCAAUUAUUGUUCUUCAACGAGGAAUACCUAGUAAGCGUGAGUCAUCAGCUCGCGUUGAAUUCGUCCCUGCCCUUUGUACACACCGCCCGUCGCUACUACCGAUUGAAUGGCUUAGUGAGGCCUCCGGAUUGGCUUUUGGGAGCCAGCAAUGGCACCUAAUUGCUGAGAAGUUGUACGAACUUGGUCAUUUAGAGGAAGUAAAAGUCG